rnacentral:rRNA from 1 species
GAUGAACGCUGGCGGCGUGCCUAAUACAUGCAAGUCGAGCGAACGGACGAGAAGCUUGCUUCUCUGAUGUUAGCGGCGGACGGGUGAGUAACACGUGGAUAACCUACCUAUAAGACUGGGAUAACUUCGGGAAACCGGAGCUAAUACCGGAUAAUAUUUUGAACCGCAUGGUUCAAAAGUGAAAGACGGUCUAGCUGUCACUUAUAGAUGGAUCCGCGCUGCAUUAGCUAGUUGGUAAGGUAACGGCUUACCAAGGCAACGAUGCAUAGCCGACCUGAGAGGGUGAUCGGCCACACUGGAACUGAGACACGGUCCAGACUCCUACGGGAGGCAGCAGUAGGGAAUCUUCCGCAAUGGGCGAAAGCCUGACGGAGCAACGCCGCGUGAGUGAUGAAGGUCUUCGGAUCGUAAAACUCUGUUAUUAGGGAAGAACAUAUGUGUAAGUAACUGUGCACAUCUUGACGGUACCUGAUCAGAAAGCCACGGCUAACUACGUG